rnacentral:rRNA from 1 species
ACUGGAGUCUGCAACCCGACUCCACGAAGCUGGAUUCGCUAGUAAUCGCGCAUCAGCCACGGCGCGGUGAAUGCGUUCCCGGGCCUUGUACACACCGCCCGUCAAGUCAUGAAAGUGGGCAGCACCCGAAGACGGUGGCCUAACCCUUGUGGGGGGAGCCGUCUAAGGUGAGGCUCGUGAUUGGGACUAAGUCGUAACAAGGUAAC